rnacentral:tRNA from 1 species
GGGCCAAUAGCUCAGCUGGUAGAGCACCUGACUCUUAAUCAGGGUGUCCCGGGUUCGAAUCCCUGUUGGCCCACCA